rnacentral:tRNA from 1 species
AGGGUGGUUACAAAACAUAAACUUCUAAUUUAAUGUUAAAGCUUUUAGUUUACACCCUU